GGCUUCGAAGCCGGCCGCCUGACCUGGGGCAAGUGCUUUCAACUCUCUGAACUUCGGUUCCUCAUCUGCCAGUUGGCAGACGCUCAGCAAAUCUUCCUAGACUCACGGGGCGAAUUGUACAGUUGGGUAAAUCGAGGCCCAGAGAUGGCAAAAGGACCGUCCAAGGUCGUACAGCCACCCGGAAUUACAAUUCUUUUCUGCCGGGUCACACGCUGUCAUCCACGUGUUACCUAAGAGAGCUUUCCAGCCUGUGCUAAGAAAACUGCCCCACAUCAUCUGCAGUAGGACGGGGGAGUUGGAGCCCUGGUCAGGCCACUCUGCUACUGACCACAGUUUUCUCAUCUCUAAAAAGGCGCAGUAACAAUAUAAUUACCGUAUGCAGUCCCCCAGGAUACAGGGUCAAAGGAGAGCACAACCAUCGCAGUUGGAAGCCCAUGGGGCAGCAGGGCCCAGGACACAGUGAGCAUACAAUAGACAUUAGCUGCUGUGGUGUCUUGAUUUCAAGCCCAGUGCAGAUGCAUCUGACUUACGAAACUUCAGUGACACCUGCUCUGUGCCAGACACUGAAGAUGGAGCAGUGAACAGCACUGACCCAGCCUGUCCUCCUGUUGCCUGCAGGCCAGCAAGGUCUCGCUGUGUUACCCUGGCUGGAGUGCAGUGGCUACUUACAGGCAUGAUCAUAGCAUACUGCAGCCUCGAACUCCUGGACUAGAGCAGUUCUCCUGCCUCAGCCUCCAGAGCAGCUGGGACUGCAGACACGCACCACAGAGCCCAGCCUGAGUCAUUUUGAUUCUGUAACUGGCUUCCUCUCGGCGGGCAGGCUCACACCCUCCACCCCCAGCUGGAGAUGGAAGGAGGAUGCUCACCGCCCAUUCCUCAUGCAGGCCAUCGAUGGAAAUGUCAGACAGUGCGAGUCCACGCCUGAACACUUCUGGGGUCCGCUCUGGGACUGACACUGGCAGAUCCAUCGAUGCCGUUCCAUUGUUUGCUGACUUUCAUUGAUUCUAUGAGAAGUCUGCAGUCUUUUGCAGCGUUGUUUUCCUAUGUAUAAUUGUCUCCUCCCACCCCACUCACCCCAGCUGCUUUCCACAUUCUCUCUCUUUGAUUUUCAGCAGUCUGCCCAUGAUGUGCCUAAAUAGGACUUUCUUUGCAUUCAUCUUGGCUGGGGCUCACUGAACUUUCUGAAUCUGUAGAUUAAUUUUCUUUUUUCAAUAAACCUUGGAAUAUUUUCAGC
rnacentral:lncRNA from 1 species